rnacentral:misc_RNA from 1 species
GAAAUGCGAUAAGUAAUGUGAAUUGCAGAAUUCAGUGAAUCAUCGAAUCUUUGAACGCACAUUGCGCCCGCCAGUACUCUGGCGGGCAUGCCUGUUCGAGCGUCAUUUCAACCCUCAAGCCCCAGCGGUUUGGUGUUGGGCUUCGGCCGUCCUAGCGGCGGCCGUGCCCCAAAUUCAGUGGCGGACUCGCUGUUGCCUCCUCUGCGUAGUAAUUACACCUCGCACCGGAAAGACAGCGGGCCCACGCCGUAAAACAACCCAAUUUUCUGAAUGUUGACCUCGGAUCAGGUAGGAAUACCCGCUGAACUUAA